rnacentral:rRNA from 1 species
AUUGAACGCUGGCGGCAGGCCUAACACAUGCAAGUCGAGCGGAGCGGCGGACGGGUGAGUAAUGCCUAGGAAUCUGCCUGGUAGUGGGGGAUAACGUCCGGAAACGGGCGCUAAUACCGCAUACUAUCAGAUGAGCCUAGGUGGGAUUGGCUAGUUGGGGGGGUAAGGGCCUACAAAGGCGACGAGCCGUAACUGGUCUGAGAGGAUGAUCAGUCAAACUGGAACUGAGACACGGUCCAGAUUCCUACGGGAGGCAGCAGUGGGGAAGAUUGGACAAUGGGCGAAAGACUGAUGCAGCAAUGCAGCGUGUGUGAAGAAGGUCUUCUGAUUGUAAAGCACUUUAAGUUGGGAGGCGGUACCAACAGAAUAAGCACCGGCUAACUUCGUGCCAGCAGCCGCGGUAAUAC